GUACUUUUACAUGACAUUAAUACAUUUAUCAUGUCCACACUAUCUAUUACAGACACAUGACUUCAUUACUCUUGCGGACCUCCUGGUCUACCCUGUACCUGCAAACCUGGGGAAUUUGAGAGAGGGGUGAGCUACUAGAGCCCAGUGAGCAAAAUAAUAAAACAUUUAAAACAUAUGAUAACAUGGAAUGCAACACAUCAC
rnacentral:lncRNA from 1 species